rnacentral:rRNA from 1 species
UACGUAUGGGGCAAGCGUUAUCCGGAUUUACUGGGUGUAAAGGGAGCGCAGGCGGCCUGGCAAGCCUGAUGUGAAAUACCGGGGCCCAACCCCGGGGCUGCAUUGGGAACUGCCAGGCUAGAGUGCCGGAGAGGCAGGCGGAAUUCCUAGUGUAGCGGUGAAAUGCGUAGAUAUUAGGAGGAACACCAGUGGCGAAGGCGGCCUGCUGGACGGUGACUGACGCUGAGGCUCGAAAGCGUGGGGAGCAAACAGG